UUGCCUGUCAUCCACUCACCUCGUCUUCCCGACCCUGCAGCCCACGUCCCUACUGGGGUAGGGGUGGCAGGAGGUGGGAAGGAGAUUGCUCGCCAGGCACCCACCCCUAAGUACAAGCAACUGUCGCUGAAUCAGAACUGUCUCAGCCGCCUGUCACCUGCGCUCGCUCGGGAGGGGCACAUGGCAUCAGACUUGGGACUUGCGACGAGAGGGGGUGGAGGACCCAGCAACGGGCCAGAGCGUGGGGUGUCUCCGGGAACUGGGAAAAGCUGGGAGUGACUAUCUCCAAACAUCUAGGGGGACAUCGGGGAGAAUGGGUGGGACUAGGGGCUUAAGGGGACUUGGAAGCAGGGGGAGGGGAUGACAGAGGGCGGGAGUGUCCUGCAGUGGGAAGCACCGGGGAACGGCGCCGGGGCUGAGGGGCGGCUGCUGCUGCCGCCAGUGCGCGGGGUUAUGCGAGCCGGGUGGCUGGGUCAUCGUAGGAAAGAUGUGGCUGCAGUCGUGGAAAGCACGAUUCCUGCAAAGUCAUCUCCACUCGCACAGCCUGGCCGGCCAGCCCGCCCCGCCCAGGGACAGCAACACCAGCCACCCCACCUCUCUUUUCCUCCCCCACCCCCGCGCCUUGCACGCAGGGCCCAGAGUUGGGGUGCGGUAUGGACUAUGUUUAGAAGCUGAUGUCAUCGCGACACCCUACUCUGCAGUCUUCCCAGAGGGACCGCAGGGCAGGUUUUCCUGAUCUUCGAGGAUGUGGGGGUGGAAAGUGGCCUGCCUUCUCAGCACACCUCACACCCAUGGUACCUCAGGGAUUAAAAAAAAAAGAAAGAAAGAAACAUCGCUAGAGUUACGAAACAGGGAGGCGCGCUCACGUGGAGCGUGCGAGCCCAGUGGCUAGCGCCCCAGGGGCCAGCAACCCUCCCUCGUGGCUCCACCUCCACCUCAGGUGUGGGGGGGCUAAUGUCAAGGUUAGCUCACGUGGGCGCGGGCGCCCGGAGCUCCUUGCACGAGUUUGGGGCGGAUUCCUCGUCCCCCAAUCUAGGGCAGUUUGUUCAACUGCAGCAAAGAGAGCUUGAUGUUCCAGCAGGGAAGGGAUUUCUGAGAACUGGGACUGUCCUCAAAUGAACCUGCCUCCUCCGGCUGCUGCGGCGGCGGCCGCCUGCGGAAGACUUUUUAAAAGGGCGAUGCCAGGCCCAGACGCUCGGCGCGCAAGUGGCUGAACCGCCCGCCACUCUGCGGCCGGAGCCGAGCACCCGCCCCGAGCGCCACGCGGGGCUGCUCUGAGCUCAGGGGGCUGCCGGCUAAACUUAUCCUCCUGCAUAUGCAUGAACGGAUGGCCUUUCCGCUCCGCAAUGGAGAGGCCUGGGGUUUUGCGGUAGGCUGCUUAGUGGAGCAAGAGUAAAGUAGGGCGUCGUGGAAGUUUUCGCGCCGGAGCUCCCCGCCCCCUCCAGACACUGGGUGUUAACUCAACCUGGCUACAAUCGGUUCGCCAGAUCCGGCUUUAUCGGAUUGUUUCAAAUCCAGGGACGUCGCUCUAGUGAAGAGCCCACCCCUUCAUUCCUGUCUCUAUUCUUCCUAAACUCACCACCUUUCAGCAAAACGAACACAGCUUUCCCCAGUAGGCCCUUUAUGUGCUCUGGGUGAGAUUCCCUAAAGCUGCUGAGCUCAGGCCGGGAAAGGGCGAGGUGAGGAUCUAUCCCAAUGUGAGGUCUGACACGUGAUCCUCUACCCCCAGCGGGCCAUCUGUUCUUUUUCCUUCCCGCCGGGAGGCUGGCAACUUUGUCUGGGCAAGGUCCACGCCUCUCAGCAGGAAAAUACCGAGAAAAGCCAGAAUCGGCAGAAACCUGUAUCUACAGCAUGUGACUUUAAGCUGAACUUCGGGCCUAGAGCUGGGACCAUACUUGGCCAUCUGUGUUUUAAACUAAGUGCCAGGUGAUUAGCCCCACCCAACAAGAUGGGGGAAGCCCUGCUUCGGGCUCAGUCUAACUCUGUCUCCAGAAGAGGGGCCCAAGAAUCGGCAGCGUUAGCCUGGAAACACCUUACCGGGGUUUACCUAGGAAAAAGAACAGAUUCUAAGCCUCUAGGCCACUUCCUACAGAGCCGUGUAAGAAGGGGGUGGGGGUGAAAUUAUGAAUUAGGAAAAAAAUGGCAUGCUAAUUUUAGCUUUUGGGAGGUGGCGGCAGGGAGUUGGAGGCUAGCCUAGGCUCUGUUUUUUGAAA